UGAACAAGUGGGUGCAGCUGCCACCUUGUCAAGUGGAUUCCACAUGUCCUUUUUUUUUUCAAUUUUGCCCUCUCUUUCUUUUCAGCCCAGCAUUCUUUUUAUUCUGGCUUGAUCAGCGCUACCCAGCCAUACAGCAGAGGGCCAAGCCUCGACUUGCAAACUAGGCCACAGCCUAUUAGCGGCUUGUACCAAAAUGCAUAGCGCCAGCAAAAUAGGAAUAAAACUGUGGAGAGCCUGUACAGGAC
rnacentral:lncRNA from 1 species